CAGAGACAUCCAGCCAAACACAACAGUGCCAAAAGAGCCGUAGCCAUCACUUCCUUUCUGAGUGUGGACACUUCCUCUUCCUGCUUUUUCUUCUCUUUAUGAAGGAACUGAAUGUAGUCGAUGGCUGAAAAAUACAGAUAAAGCGUCAAGAUACCAAUCAAGCAGGCAGUAGUCAGCACUGUGGCUUUGCUGAUCUUCUGUGUGGCCAUAGCAAACUCAGACUGCUGCUGACAGCCUCUUUCAGAUACUGUUUCCUGUACCUUAAUAGCAUCUCUGCGUUUCUGCUCCGCCUGGGUAUGGGCUUGUCUCCGGCGGUCUUUGUAUGAGUCCUUGUAAGUGGUCUCGUGUCUGUAGUCGCUGUCUUCA